AUACGUAGGGGGCGAGCGUUGUCCGGAAUGAUUGGGCGUAAAGGGCGCGUAGGCGGCCCGGUAAGUCUGGAGUGAAAGUCCUGUUUUUAAGAUGGGAAUUGCUUUGGAUACUGUCGGGCUUGAGUGCCGGAGAGGUAAGUGGAAUUCCCAGUGUAGCGGGGAAAUGCGUAGAGAUUGGGAGGAACACCAGUGGCGAAGGCGACUUACUGGACUGUAACUGACGCUGAGGCGCGAAAGUGUGGGGAGCAAACAGGAUUAGAUACCCUGGUAGUCCACACUGUAAACGAUGAAUGCUAGGUGUAGGGGGUAUCGACCCCUUCUGUGCCGCAGUCAACACAAUAAGCAUUCCGCCUGGGGAGUACGGCCGCAAGGUUGAAACUCAAAUGAAUUGGCGGGG
rnacentral:rRNA from 1 species